AGUGAAACUUAUCCUUUUGGCUAAGAUCAAGUGUAGUAUCUGUUCUUAACAGUUUAAUAUCUGACACAUUCUCUAUCCAAGGAAAAUAUGUUAAAUGGGUUUUUGAAGCAAGGAGAUGGAAUAGGAGUUUGCUCCACCACUCUACACAUCAACCUGUAUUUCAAUACCUCCAGAAACCCAGGAACGGUGCAUCUCUC
ensembl:snRNA U2 U2 spliceosomal RNA